CAGAUGUGAAAGACCCGGGGCGUCAACCUACGGAAGUAGCAUUUGUAAACUAGGCAGACUAGAGUACUGUAGAGGGGGGUAGGAAUUUCUAGGUGUAGCGGUGAAAUAGCGUAGAGAUCUGAAGGAAUACCGGUGGCGAAGGCGGCCCCCUCGGACAGAUACUGACACUCAGAUGCGAAAGCGUGGGGAGCAAACAGGAUUAGAUACCCUGGUAG
rnacentral:rRNA from 1 species